GAUGAACGCUGGCGGCGUGCCUAAUACAUGCAAGUCGAGCGAACGGACGAUAAGCUUGCUUCUCUGAUGUUAGCGGCGGACGGGUGAGUAACACGUGGAUAACCUACCUAUAAGACUGGGAUAACUUCGGGAAACCGGAGCUAAUACCGGAUGAUAUUUUGAACCGCAUGGUUCAAAAGUGAAAUACGGUCUUGCUGUCACUUAUCGAUGGAUCCGCGCUGCAUUAGCUAGUUGGUAAGGUAAUGGCUUACCAAGGCAACGAUGCAUAGCCGACCUGAGAGGGUGAUCGGCCACACUGGAACUUAGACACGGUCCAGACUCCUACGGGAGGCAGCAGUAGGGAAUCUUCCGCAAUGGGCGAAAGCCUGACGGAGCAACGCCGCGUGAGUGAUGGAGGUCUUCGGAUCGUAAAACUCUGUUAUUAGGGAAGAACAUAUGUGUAAGUAACUGUGCACAUCUUGACGGUACCUAAUCAGAAAGCCACGGCUAACUACGUG
rnacentral:rRNA from 1 species